UUUUGGUGAUGAUUUGAGAAAUUCGUGUUCUUGAGUGGCUGGAGGAAGGAGAUGAAGUUUUUGCGCCAUUUACUGUUUGAUCCAAAAUUCUAUUUGAAAAUUCAAAUACACUGUUUCCCGUUCCCGCCUUAAUGAAUUACAACUAUGCCAUUACAAUUUAAUUAAUUUAAUUCAAAUAAUUCUUAAAAAAUCAUUAACACCUUUAAAAAUUCAUAAAAAAUCAUAGAAAAUUCAGAAAAAUAUGAGAAUUUUU
rnacentral:lncRNA from 1 species